AUCCAGAUGACGAGUCCCAAAUAGGACGAAAUUCGCCUCCUGGAU
rnacentral:hammerhead_ribozyme from 1 species